rnacentral:tRNA from 1 species
UGGGAUAUAGCUCAGUUGGUAGAGUGCUUGCCUUGCAUGCACAGGCCCUGGGUUCAACCCCCAGCAUCACAA